rnacentral:ncRNA from 1 species
CCGAAAUUGGUUACACUUAGACGUGUAUUAAAAGGGAAUCGUGUGAGAAUCACGAACUGUCGCGCAACUGUAAGUAACAAUACAUAAGGUUAUUAUCAACAAUAAGUUCACUGUUUAUAUAACAUAAUGGGAAGAACGAUGAUAACUGUUACAAGUCAGGAGACCUGCCUUUUUCGAA